AACACAAGAUCCAGCGCACUCACCCAUCCACUAAACAGCAACUUCAAAGUUGCUGUUUAGUGGAUGGGUGAGUGCGCUGGAUCUUGUGUUU
rnacentral:miRNA from 1 species